AUUCGGGCAGGCGCCGGGGCGGGCACCGGAGCGGGCGGCCAGCGAGUCAGAUGGUCCGAUGCUGCCCUAUUGCGCUGCCGGACCUCGGUUUCUGAGAUAAUGAGGUCCACGCAGGUCCGAAGGAAAGGACCCGGAGCGCAAACCCUCCUGAGUGCUUAAAAGACCUGGGAUCGCUUGGGCUGGCUGCUAAUGGCAAGUGCUCUGCAGGUUCACAGCUCAGACCAGGGCUCCCCUAGCCAAGACGCCACCGGCUAAAACCACAGGGUGGUGAGCAGGCCUGAAAAGGCACUGUGUGUGUGUGAGACCUUAGGUCCCCAGCCCAGGCCUCAGGAUCACCCACAUCCGUGGUGCUUCUCAUCUCAGUAAACGAACCCAAGCUAGGAGCUCCCUCAUAGCCAUGCUCUGAACUUCGCCUCUUCAGUGAUUCUAGGACUUGUCCGGUUGGCAAUGUUAAACAUCACCGUUUCUAUCUGAACUGGUACACUUGUCCACAUGCAGUUGUCUUGAACUGGAUCUACCCCAGGAGUAGAUGGUUUGUAAAGAUCCCCCUCCCUCCAAGAAGCGGACUUUUCAAAAAUGGGGUCUAGGUCUAUGGGCCUCAGUAGGAUAUCCAGCCAUUGAACCCAUGCCAAGUCCCACACCGGAACUCUGAGGCUAAGACAGCCCAGCAGUUUACAUUUUCCCAGCGCUCUGCUGGGGGCUCUGAUGCAGGAUCUAGGUGGAGCCAAACCCAGGCUUAGGUAAGCUUCAGGUAAACAUUUUCUUCUGUGCCUGGGUUUGCUGAUGCCUGUUCUCUUAGCAUUACUUGGCGUCUGUUGUCACUGGCACUUGUUUUGCACCCAAGGAAACAAUAGUUGCCUCCUGGGUAAAGAUCCUGGUUCCUUUGCUGGGCAGUUAAACUGCUAGUUAGGGCAUCAAGGAGAAGUAAGUUUAUAGGGACACAGUUUAUUACCAGUGCUAUGUGCUGAGAUGACAUGUAUGUAACAGACAGCUCACUCUACCCUGAGAGUCCAUAGCCAAGCACCAGGAAAAUGUUGGUGGGAACAGAGAAGUGCUUCGGUGCUCAGAACACAGAAGGCUGUCCCCAGCUGCUACCCCAGGCCUGUUGACCAGCAGGUUUCAGCCAUGCCAAAGCUCUGACCCACCAAGAGCUUCUCAGAACUCAUGCUUCAACAGCUCCCUGAGGCUUCAUCUAAUCUUGGGGUGCUGUGAACUCAAAGGCUUUAUCUUCUGCCUGACUAGAGAUGUUUAUUAAAUAUAUCAAGUUUUGGGAGCUGGGGAGAUGCCUCAGUAGCUAAGAGCACAGGCUGCUCUUCCACAGGACCUGGGUUUGAGUCUCAGUACCCACAUGGUGGCUUACAACCGUCUCUAGUUCAGUUCAAAAGGAUCCCGCACCUCGCACUCCCUCCCCCGCCUCCAAGGGCACCAGGCAUGAAUGUUGUGUACUGACAUGUAAGCAGACAAAACACCCAAUCACAUAAAAAUAAAAAGACUCAAUCUGUCUGGC